GGGCACGACACCGGAGAGGGAGCCUGAGAAACGGCUACCACANCCAAGGAUGGCAGCAGGCGCGCAAAUUACCCAAUCCCGACACGGGGAGGUAGUGACAAUAAAUAACAAUACGGGGUUCUUUCGGAUCUCGUAAUUGGAAUGAGUACAAUUUAAAUCUCUUAACGAGGAACAAUUGGAGGGCAAGUCUGGUGCCAGCAGCCGCGGUAAUUCCAGCUCCAAUAGCGUAUAUUAAAGUUGUUGCAGUUAAAAAGCUCGUAGUUGAAUUUCGGAAUCAGAUUGUCGGUCGUGCCUCGGUACGCACUGGCAUUAUUGGUUCCUACCUUCUGAAGAACCGCGAUGUCAUUAAUUGGUGUCGUGGGGAAUCAGGACUGUUACUUUGAAAAAAUUAGAGUGUUUAAAGCAGGCGCACGCUUGAAUACAUUAGCAUGGAAUAAUGAAAUAGGACGUUUGAUUCUAUUUUGUUGGUUUCUAGGAUCGACGUAAUGAUUAAUAGGGAUAGUUGGGGGCAUUAGUAUUCAAUUGUCAGAGGUGAAAUUCUUGGAUUUAUUGAAGACUAACUACUGCGAAAGCAUUUGCCAAGGAUGUUUUCAUUAAUCAAGAACGAAAGUUAGGGGAUCGAAGACGAUCAGAUACCGUCGUAGUCUUAACCAUAAACUAUGCCGACUAGGGAUCGGAUGAUGUUAAUUUUUUAAUGACUCAUUCGGCGCCUUACGGGAAACCAAA
rnacentral:rRNA from 1 species